rnacentral:rRNA from 1 species
AUUGAACGCUGGCGGCAGGCCUAACACAUGCAAGUCGAGCGAGCGGCGGACGGGUGAGUAUUGUCUGGGAAACUGCCUGAUGGAGGGGGAUAACUACUGGAAACGGUAGCUAAUACCGCAUACCAUCAGAUGUGCCCAGAUGGGAUUAGCUAGUAGGUGGGGUAACGGCGCACCUAGGCGACGAUCCCUAGCUGGUCUGAGAGGAUAACCAGCAACACUGGAACGGGGACACGGUCCAGACGCCUACGGGAGGCAGCAGUGGGGAAUAUUGGACAAUGGGCGCAGGCCUGAGGCAGCCAGGCGGCGGGUGUGAGGAAGGCCUUCGGGUUGAAAAGCACUUUCAGCGGGGAGGCGUUACCCGCAGAAGAAGCACCGGCUAACUCCGUGCCAGCAGCCGCGGUAAUUC